rnacentral:rRNA from 1 species
UAACGCGAAGAACCUUACCUGGGCUUGACAUGCAGGGUGAAACCCGUGAAAGCGGGUGCUCUUCGGAGCCUGCACAGGUGGUGCAUGGCUGUCGUCAGCUCGUGCCGUGAGGUGUUGCCUUAAGUGGCGCAACGAGCGCAACCCCUGUCCUUAGUUGCCAGCGGGUGAUGCCGGGAACUCUAGGGAGACUGCCGGUGCCAAACCGGAGGAAGGUGGGGAUGACGUCAAGUCAUCAUGCCCCUUAUGUCCAGGGCUGCACGCAUGCUACAAUGCGCGGUACAGAGGGCUGCGAUCCCGUAAGGGGGAGCGAAUCCCAGAAAGCCGUGCUCAGUUCGGAUCGAGGUCUGCAACCCGACCUCGUGAAGUCGGAGUCGCUAGUAAUCGCAGAUCAGCAAUGCUGCGGUGAAUACGUUCCCGGGUCUUGUACACACCGA